GAGGGCCCCGGGCAGCCCCCGGCCCCCCGACGCGCGCUCGGGGCUGGCGGGGGCGGACCUCGGUGCCCCCCGCGCCUUCCGGACAGGCACCUGCCGCAACCGCGGGCCCCCGGGACGGCGGGCCCCGCCGGGAGCCGCCCCCAGCAGCGUGCCCGGCCCCCAGCGAAGCUCGGCUGCCCAGCCUGGGGCCCUGGGGCCGGCCGGCCGCCGCGGGGCCCUCUCUGGGCGCGCGCCACGACCCGCUGGUAAUGCCCGUCCCGGAGAAGACUUGGUUUGGCUGCAGCGGUGUUUGUCCGAGGGUCUAAAGUCCCUGGAGGAUGACCUAGCACUUGCAAGCCCCACCGGCCUCCUGAGGGCCCCCGUGGACGCGCCGGCCCGACCCGAAGCUGCGAGGCGGGCAGGCACCCAGACUUGCGACCCUCCGCACCCUCGGGUGCCGGGGUUCUGGGCCAGGCGCGCCUCUUGAACUCACGACGAGUACAAUCGUUUCUUUUCGAAGAAGGAUUUCCCUUUUUUUUUUUGUUUUUGUUUUUGUUUUUGUUUUUUGCGUUUUUUGUUGAUUUUUGUUUUUUGCGUUUUUUUUUUUCCUUGGAGAAGGGAACUUUAGGGGGACAAAAGGAAGAACCGCUCUUCGGGGGGGAAUAGAUAAGGAAGAUAAAGGGACCGCCCGCGAGAGUCCAGGAUGGAUGUGGCCGACCCGCAGCAGCUGGGCAUGUUUACAGAGGGGGAGCUGAUGUCCGUGGGGAUGGACACGUUCAUCCACCGCAUCGACUCCACGGAGGUCAUCUACCAGCCACGUCGCAAGCGGGCCAAGCUCAUCGGCAAGUACUUGAUGGGGGACCUGCUGGGGGAGGGGUCCUACGGCAAGGUGAAGGAGGUGCUGGACUCGGAGACGCUCUGCCGGAGAGCCGUCAAAAUCCUCAAGAAGAAGAAGUUGCGAAGGAUCCCCAAUGGGGAGGCCAACGUGAAGAAGGAAAUCCAACUUCUGAGGAGGUUGCGGCACAAAAACGUCAUCCAGCUGGUGGACGUGCUGUGCAACGAAGAGAAGCAAAAAAUGUAUAUGGUGAUGGAGUACUGCGUGUGCGGCAUGCAGGAGAUGCUGGACAGCGUGCCCGAGAAGCGCUUCCCCGUGUGCCAGGCCCACGGGUACUUCUGCCAGCUGGUGGACGGCCUGGAGUACCUGCACAGCCAGGGCAUUGUGCACAAGGACAUCAAGCCAGGCAACCUGCUGCUCACCACGGGCGGCACCCUCAAGAUCUCCGACCUGGGUGUGGCCGAGGCCCUGCACCCCUUUGCCGAGGACGACACGUGCCGGACGAGCCAGGGCUCCCCAGCGUUCCAGCCCCCUGAGAUCGCCAACGGCCUGGACACCUUCUCUGGCUUUAAGGUGGACAUCUGGUCGGCUGGGGUUACUCUCUAUAACAUCACGACAGGCCUGUACCCAUUCGAGGGGGACAACAUCUACAAGUUGUUUGAGAACAUCGGGAAGGGAGACUACACGAUCCCGGGUGACUGCGGCCCCCCGCUCUCGGACUUGCUGAGAGGGAUGCUGGAAUACGAGCCAGCCAGGAGGUUCUCCAUACAGCAGAUCAGACAACACAGCUGGUUCCGGAAGAAGCACCCGCCAUCAGAGGAGCCCGUGCCCAUCCCGCCAAGCUCAGACUGCAAGGACCGCUGGCGAGGCAUGACAGUGGUGCCCUACCUGGAGGAUCUGCAUGGCUGUGCGGACGACAAUGGGGACGAGGACCUGUUCGAUAUCGAGGACGACAUCAUCUACACUCAGGACUUCACGGUGCCCGGUGGCGAGGAGGCGUCUGAGGCAGGGCUUAGAGAGGAGAGAGGCACGCAGAGGAGCCAGUGUUCAGACCUUUCUGGAGAGGAAGCUGAGGCCGGGGGCGUAGAGCAGCUCGGGGCGUAGUGUAGCGCUGCUCCCCGCUCCAGUGCCGUAGAGGCCAGGCCUCGGCACCCCUGCCUCCCUCCUUAAGCCUGCGCAGCUGCCCGAGCGUUCCCCACCCCCCCAGCCCCUCCCCAACCCCCUUCCACAGCGCUCACAGCUCUGUUGUGUCCUGGGGCCAGCCUGUCGGCUCCUGUCAUAAAGGUUUGCCUCGCUGUGCGUGUGGGGGUGAUGCCGGUCUCCCUUUGUGCUGGCUUGUUUGCCAGGAGUGAGGAUUCUAUUGUAGAAAGAAUUGGCGUGUGGAGGUGGCCUGUGUGGUGGGUGGGCCCCCGGGAGACCCCACUGGGCAGUAACGCCGUGGGCCCAGCGCCGUUUUCCUGCCAGAGCCGGGGCGGGGAUCAUGGGUCCCACUCCUGUGGGGGGCGUGCUUGGGGUUUCUGUGACAGCCUGUCAUGGCCGGCCGCAGGAUCAUCUCAGAGCCGGCGCCUGCUGGACCCUGAGUUUCUGUGGCUUUGGCUCAGCCGUUUCCCUACCGGGUCCUGGGCUCCAGGAGUCCCGGGAGGUGACGUGUACGGAGUCCUAGCUCUGGGAGCCCUGGCCUUCAGAGCUUCUGUUUCCCAUGGAGAGUGAGAACAAGGCGUCCUGCCUCUCAGAGUCGCUGGGGUGUUGUGUCAGGAACUUGUGAGGGGCCCUCGCUGGCAGACAGUCUGCUGUCCCAGGAAGGCCGAGUGAGGACCCUGCCCAAUCCCCAGAACCUCGCCAGACUAUACUGACCGUGUAUGUUGGCUCCCGUGUGCCCUUUGGCCCGUGUGAGAGGCCAGGGGCUGCCUUUGACGGGUAGGGGAGGGCGCACCCGAGGGCAGCUCUCCAGGCUUGGAGCCACAUGCCUGGCCGGGCGAUGUCGUCCGUGUCAGAAGUAGCACAGUCCUGCUCCAGGACCAGUGGGGUUUUCUCUGACCUCCUGUGGGUCGGCGGUGGGCUGUGCUGGGGCCAAGAUCCCUCCUCGCUUCAGUCCCGGUGGGGUGCUUCCGCUCAGAGGCUCUCAGCUGCUUGGCCUCGGUCUCCCCAGACUGUCCCCACUGUGGAGGUCUGCUGCCCACCCUGACAGCUGGGUGCCGGGCCUCGGGCUGGGGUGGAGUGGGUGCUUGCCGGCCGUGCCCCAGUCCCUUGAGGGCAGGGAGGCCGGGUCCUGUGCCGCCUCAGCCACAGCUGCUGUGCCGGUGGCUGGGCUCCAGGUGGUCUGUGCAGAGCUGCUCCCGCACCCCCCCCCCCCUAUGGCCCCUCCUCCAUCAGAGCAGGGUUCCUGGCCCCCCCAAGGGCUUUCCUCAGCAGGAGCCUGUCAGCAGUGAGGAGCUCUGACCUAAGAUGCCGUGUUCCAGAAGCUGCUGUCAGGCAGUGGGACUCUUGGCCCAGAGGGGGCGCUGUGCUGGGGAAGAGGUCGGCUGGCGGCAGCCGUGGGCAGCUUUCCACCUGUGUCGCAGGAGGGCGGACUGUGGGCAGCAGGCCGGUUCUCCAUGUGCACUGAAUGAGCCACUUGGGCCCUGGCACGUUGGCCAGCUCCUAUGUGCCUUCCUCCUCCCCCGCCCCCACAGUUCAGGCAGGCAGCCCCAGGCCCAUGGCUCCCCGGAGGCCAGCAAGGGCUGGUGCCACCCAGUUGAGAGUAGGGACCGGCAGGCCCUGGGCCCUGAUCUCUUCAUCCCGUGCCCGGCACGGGGAGUCGAGGCUGGCGUUCGUGGGAGAGAUGCCUGUCGCACACCUGGCCUGAGCCCAGCCCCUCCCAAGCCCCGAGGGCCCAGCCUGCUGUGGCCUCUGCAGGGGCGAACGGGUCGAGCCCAGGUCCCUGUGCCCCAGGUCCCCGGUCCCUUCCCCUUGUGCUGGGGUGGAUGGUGAGCACUCAGCCCACCUGGUACAGACACCCGGCUCAAACCUGAGCAGGCAGGACAGGUCCCAGAAGAGGAGGCUAGUCAGAACGGGCAGAGCCGGGGCCCGCCCAAAGUCGUGUGCAUGAACGGCACGGAGUCGGCGCAGCUGAGCGCCAAGUCGAAGGUGGAGCGCCGGGCCAGCGCCGCCUCCAACCCC